rnacentral:rRNA from 1 species
UACGUAGGGGGCAAGCGUUGUCCGGAAUCAUUGGGCGUAAAGAGCGUGUAGGCGGCUCGAUAAGUCUGCUGUGAAAGUCCAGGGCUCAACCCUGGAAGGCCGGUGGAAACUGUCGGGCUAGAGUCCGGAAGAGGCGAGUGGAAUUCCCGGUGUAGCGGUGAAAUGCGCAGAUAUCAGGAGGAACACCAAUGGCGAAGGCAGCUCGCUGGGACGGUACUGACGCUGAGGCGCGAAAGCUAGGGUAGCAAACGGG